rnacentral:misc_RNA from 1 species
GAUGAAGAACGUAGCAAAAUGAGAUAAGUAAUGUGAAUUGCAGAAUUCAGUGAAUCAUCGAAUCUUUGAACGCACAUUGCGCCCGCUGGUAUUCCGGCGGGCAUGCCUGUUCGAGCGUCAUUUCAACCCUCAAGCCCCCGGGUUUGGUGUUGGGGAUCGGCUCUGCCCUUCUGGGCGGUGCCGCCCCCGAAAUACAUUGGCGGUCUCGCUGCAGCCUCCAUUGCGUAGUAGCUAACACCUCGCAACUGGAACGCGGCGCGGCCAUGCCGUAAAACCCCAACUUCUGAAUGUUGACCUCGGAUCAGGCAGGAAUACCCGCUGAACUUAAGCAUAUCAAUAAGCGGAGGA